CUACACACCCCGCCUUGCUUCUCCGGGGGAGAACGAGGACGCCGCGGGUGCACCGAUGGAGCCGGCACUGUCUCGUUUCGUGGGUUUGUUAUUGCGGUUUCCUCCAUCAUUUCCCACCAAACUUCAUUUGAAGAACAUCUUAUGUGGAAAGCUGGACUCUGGUAAAAGUACCUUAUGGCAGAUCCCGUGCACUUAUGCAUGACUCCAUGGGACAUGCAGACACACUUAGAUGAUCCACAGAUGGGAGGAGAAAGGGAGGGCCAAGAAAAAAACCUCAUCCUGAACAGUGUGAGAUAAAAACAGGAUUCAUUUUCUAUGGCCUUCAGAGCCCGAGAAGAAACUGAAAAUGAUGGGAUUCUCAAGAAAACAAGAUUUGUGACCUACUUCAACCUUUGUUUUCAUGCAGUACCACAUUUCCAUGUUCUCCAUGGACACAAGAUACGCAGAACUGCUAGUACCGGUACUUCUUUAGAAUUAUUAUUCAAAGUUAUUUGAAAUGGUCUUAGAAAGUACGUCAGAACAGAAGGGCAAUUAAACAGCAAGGAUAGGAUAACAUGGAAUAUCAAAGAGUAGAAUAUUUAGGUUAUCAAUCCAGCAGAAUAAAUUUGGCAGGAAUAGUGGGAGAACAAGAAGGCAUUGCAAAUUAUAUUGAAAUACAUAUAUUUCUACCUCCAUGAAGUCCCACAGCAUUGUCUUAUAAACACAUCAUGUUUUUCUUUCACAAAAGAAGUUUGACUUUUAGACCACCGUUUAACAUUAUGUACUCUAUGCUUCUGUAUUGUCAUAUGACAAUACACACAUAGAGGUAACAUUAUUGAAGUAUUUUAAGCAUAUUCUGAUAAGACUACUGACACAGUUACACAAAUGUGUAAGGGAUUUAGUGGAUGAGAUUUUGGUAUACUUCAUAGUUACUACAAAAUGUGGUUAUAAAACCCAAAAAUUAUUUGCAUUCUCCAAAGUUUUGUAUGAAAUACUGAAACGGAUCUACGAUGUAUCCCUCUACUUCCAAUCUACCUUUUGUCCUUUCUUUCUGAGAGGUCUCAGAGCCUAUUCACUUCAAACAGUACACUCAAAACCCUUUGCAGGGUUAUCCGAUGACACUGUUGCUGUGCCUAAGGGUAAUUAAUAUAAACCCUGUGUGUCAUUGAAUCUACAGACCAUGAAACUUCACUGUGCUACGUAUUAGCUAGUGGAAAUGUCACCUCAUUUUUAAAGAAGAAUUGUGUCAAAUUAACAACCUAAAAGUAGAAGUCUUCUUUCCAGCUUUGCUAGAGUAGAUAAUUUUUUAUUUUUUUUGCAUUAUGCAGUCUAUACUCUAUCAGCAUUUACAGUUUUAGAGGAUUAGCUAGCAUUAAGAAACUUAUAUUACAUUGCAGGGAGGAAAAAAAAUAGCGUAUUGCUCUGCUUAUAUUAGUUCAUAUUUGUACCACAGGAGGCACAGUGAGUAAUUUUCACAACCUACUUUUUGCUUCUCACUUCUGUUGAGGUUUCACAGUCAUCCUUUAAAACAGUCAUCCCUGCAUAGUAACACAGAGCCCAAGACCACGUUCCCUACUUCCCAUGUCCUGAAGUGCCACAUCUACAUGUUUUUUGAACAAUUCUGGGGAUGAUUGCUCCACCAAUUCCCUGGGCAGCUUCUUCAAAUGCCUGGCCACUCUUUCAGCGAUUAAAUUUUUCCUAAUACGCAAUCUAAAUCUUUCCUGGUGCAACUUGAGGCCACCCCCUCUCAUGCUAUUUCUUGUUACUUGGGAGACCAACACCCACCUCACUGCAACCUCCUUUCAGGUAGUUGUAGAGGGUGAUAAGGCCUCCCCUCAGCCUCCUUUUGUCCAGGUUUACAACCUCAGUUCCCUGAACUGCUCCUCAUAAGACUUGCACUCCAGACCCUCCACCAGCCUCAUUGCCCUUCUCUGACACACUCCAGUAUCUCACUGUGCCUGUACUAAGGAAUCCAAAAUUGAGCACAGUAUUCAAGGUGCAGCAUCACCAGUGCCACUUUGACUGGUCACCAACUGGAUUUAGCUACAUUCAGUGCAACUCUUUGGGCUUGGCCAUCCAGACUGGACAAGUUAUACAUGAAUGUCGGGUAUUAGUUGCUUCCACAAUGUAUUGAUAAGCCAGGGACAAAUUUGUGGUAUCUGAUCCAAGCAUGCCUGGUGGCAGAGAAUUUUGCUGCUACUCCUGUCACAUGACAGAGGGUACAACUUUGCUUGUUCUGAGAUGGGUAUGUGACUUAGAAGAAUAGUAGUGGAUGACCUUCAAAAUCCUCCAUGAGAGGCUGUGUUGCACACCUCUCAAGAAUGUUUAGUGUCACAGGGUAUUAAAGGAUUCUUCACCUGUCAUCCCAGGUGAUCUGCAGCUUGCAGAUGCAAUUUAUCCAGCAGGGUUCCCCUGCCUGAAGAUUCUUUCCCCCCAAAGAUUUAAAAGGGUUAAAGACUAAUGAGAAGCAGGUGAAUUGCUUCUGGUUACUGCUUGCCAAUAAUUUCAGCUUAUCUCUUGUCAUACUGGGCUUAGUGAUCAUGCAUUAUACAGCAGAAGUGCACAGGUAAAUCCUUUUCCACUCCCCAGGAAAUUUGUAUUUGGUUGUCAGAUUCCACCUCCACAGCAAUUAAUCUAUUCCCUUGCCUCUCUUGAGCGUGUCUAAAAAAUCAGCAGCUAAGAACAGUUAGCAUGAUUUUUUUUUUAAUUCUGUGCAAGCUAGCUGCCAAACCACACUCUUCGUUACGAGGAGCAAAUCAGGAGACAUCUGUGUACAUGUAUAAUAAAAUCCAUGCUUAACUGAUCCUUCAGCACACAUGCGGAAUAACCUUGCUGUUUGGACACAAUAGGUAUGUUGAUGAGGAAGAGGAAGUCUGGAGCACAUGUCCUUCUCUGCUAAUAAAAAGACUGCGUAGAGUACCUAGUAAUAAAGGCUGGGCAGUGCUGAAAUGCAGCAUCACAACUAGCAUUUCUGCAGGGAGCUGAAAAAGAUGAGUCAAACAGUAAUUAGUUAAAACAAAUACCAGAUGGUAUCUGACUUUACAAUGGUUUCCAUUGUCAAGACUAAGAUCACAAUGAUCCUGUAGAUAAGGACAGGAUUCAAACAUCUUUUGGUAGUCCAUCAUCAAAACACUCUAGAGUUUCCCAGCUUUAAAAGUUCGUUGUGCCAUGAAACAUUAAUGAUAGAGAUAGAAAAAUCAUUAAAAAUUCUCUUUCAUGCCUAUUAAUGACAUAAAUAGUCAACAUAAAAGAUUGCUUCUUACAGCCCAUUGAAAAGGGGCAAAAUCACAGUUGUUACAUGUCACAUGAAGCUGGAAAUAUUAUAUUCUUUUCCUCAUUUUCACUGUGAUUCUCAUUUUAGUUCACCAUCUUUUAUAAAAUACAAGAUACUUCCACUAAAAAGACAGAAAAAUAUUUUAUGUUUUAACAUGAGAAUUUUAUUUUAAUAUCUCUUCAUUUUAACAUAAGACUGGCUUGCAUUUAUUUGAGUCCAAGGCUUGUAAACAUUUACUUGCACGUUUAACUCUACUGCUGUUAAAACAGGAAUAUGCAUACUCGUUAAUGUCAUGAAUCACGGCAGCAUCAUGCUUUUAUCUAAAAAACGGUGCAAGGAAACCGAGAAUUUAAAGUACAUUGUGUUCCAGGUAGUUAUGCAUCUAUCUCCACAAUAUUCCUUUAAAAUAUUUAUAUUUUGGAGUUAGGAAAAGGAAAUAUGUGCAUACCACGCAUAAAGAGCAGAAGAGUAUAGUAUUUUUUAUAUUUUAGAUAUCUCUAGUUGAUCAGUUUGCUAUAACAGUGAUCCUGGACAGCAUGGAAAUACAGCUCUACAGGGAAGGAAGAAGCCAGAUGGGGCCAGAAAAGCUGUUUUCCGGUGAAUCUCAUAUUUAUUUCAUCUCUUAUCCAUCACCUUUAGUAUGAUGUUCCAGUCCUGCUUUAAAAUGUCAUUAAGAAGUUUUACACAACAUUUGGAACUGAAAAUACUUAUUUUUAUAUAACUAAUGUGUUUUGAUAAAAAAAAUGUUCUGCUAUAUUUUGCUAGUUACUCUUACUAUGUCAUGGAAACUUCACAAAUAAAUAUCUAUGAAUGUCAUACUACAGUAAUCAUGCCCAGAAUAUGUGCAGGACAAAACCUGUGAUGUGAAUUAAACUUUGUCUUGCUGAUGAAAUGUGACUUUUUUUACACCACCAGCCAUAUCACUAUAUUUUAAUCAUUAAUAAUAAUAAUGAUCUUAGUGGCAAUAGAUUUUUUUUUCUUCUCAGUGUUUAAAAGCUGUGUAGGGAAUUAGAAGUUUGCCACCCAACCUCAGAAAGAGGUAGACAAUAAUGAACAAAAUAAUAAGGUUAAACGAACAUGCAGAAUACAAGCUGGUGAAAUCCUGGUGUGGGUCUGAAGAUUUCUACUUUCUGUGAAGUCCUCCUGAGCAAGACCAAGUAGUACACCCAAAUCAAGCUGCAAAUGGUAACACAUGAUACAUCUUCAGAAGAAAAGGACCUUAUCUCGUAUUCUUACAUUUUUCAGUGUCAGACUUGUAAAGGCACAGUCUUCCAGGUUAGGCCGUAUCCAAGGCAUACACUUCCACAGUAACGGGAAUUGAUGUCCUGAAGAACAGAAGUUCCAAUGUGACUUUGUCUGAUUCCUAUCCUGAAAAAACAUGUUUUUUUCAGCUUUGAGGAAGCUACUUGUAGGGUCUUACUUUGAUUUAUACCCUGCCUUAUCACAGUGUUGGAUCUGUCUGCAAAAGAUGGAAAGGUUGUCAGCAUCUGAAUCACAGCUAUGUAAUUUAAGAUAUCCCAUUGCUGGAUUUUCUAAAUGAAAUCUUUAAUAAACUUAGGCAAGCUUUUAACUCAUUUAUGCUCAGAAUUCCCAUUGCAAAGUAAACAUGCUUUCUGUCUUCUUUUGAAGAAGAAGAAAAGAACCCCAAACCACUGCUGUUCGUUUGUAUGUUGCUUGUGUUUCGGAGCAAUAGUCAAUGGCUGCCAAGGGAACCUCUUGGUAUGAAUGAAAUCUCUUUGAUUGAACUUAUGCAAAAUUAAGAAAAUUGGCUAAAUUAAAAGGAAAUAAUAAGGAAAAAGCUGUGUUCACCCAUCAUCAGGACUGACUUUAGGAAACUGGCAAUAAAAUUCUCCAAACAUGCCAUCUAUAGUUUAGUCUGUAGGGAUUCAGCUGCUUUCUGUUAUGGAUGACUUGGUCCUGGGUGUUAGUAUGAAGAUCAAAAAUGUUGCUCCACUGAAGUGUUCCAUGUCUCUUUGCUGGUACACAGUUUGCACGGGAGACAAACUAGAGAAAUGAGAGGCAGACCUCAGAAGGAUGAAAUAGUGAUGGGAGCUAACAGAGAGGUAAAAUUUGGACUGAAAGCUGGUAGGAGAACGGGGGCAUAUUGGGAUGAGUGGCUGUAGUGGAGAAAUUUGAAGAUGAGACUAGAGAAGAGGAAUGGAAUAAGAGCAGUAGAGAGAGGAAACAGGUAGCUAAGAAAAGGAAAGAAUGCAAAGAAUAUGUUCAAAUAGAGGGUAGGAGGAAAAUACUUAUUAUUAUCUUCCAAGGUCUUCAAUAGCUGUGGGAAGUUCAAGUUUCAUGUGCGUUUGUUGCCUCUUUUCUAAAGAAGCUUUCCUGAAACUUUUGGAUUUUGCUAUACCUGUGCCGGAGUUACACAGGCAGCCAUAAUAGGUGCUGUCCCAUAAGAAGCGAAGGGAUUUCACUAGCAUCAUGCAAUCAUUUUCUCAGCUUGAAACAUCAGUUAGGGAAUAUCCAUGAUGAAGGUCUUCGAAAUUCCGGUCUUGCCAAUGUGAUUCCACUUGGCAUACAGUUUUAAAUAUUUUUCAGUUAAUAAUACCUCCCUGCCCCUCUUGCUACCUUUACCUUAAAAGUAUAUUACAAAAAAUAGGAAACUUGGCAGAAUUAAAGUUUCAGCCUUAAUUUCUCCUCUUUACAUUUUGUAAAAUGGUAGGCUUUAAUAACAAUAAGAUUAAUAAUUUUCCUCAUCCUAUUUUACCUGGCUUUUUGGAAUAGAUUACAAGAGAGACUGUAGGUGUUUCAGAGUAACAGAAAAUAUAUAAGAAGGAAGAACAGCUAAGAGGCAGACAGAAAAAACCCAGAAACAAUAUUUCACAUUCAAAUAUAUGAAGCAACUAAAUACCAAGCUCUGCAAUUCCUGAAGUUAAUUCUUACUGAAAAUACUGAAUCUAGAAAAUAAUUAUGACACUGUGUAAUCAUGAAUGAGCUCUCAGUCCAAUAGGAAAUAAACAAGGCUAAUUAGAAUGCUUUCAGGACUGACAAACAAGUGCUUUAUAUGUCUGUGAUUUUCCCUAAAGUGUUAAUCAUUUUUAUUUUAUACUACCUCCUCAGACUGCUGAAAUGUGAAGUUCAUUUUCCCAUGGGAAGUUAUACUUUUAAUGUCAAAUGUAAUUAUGUAUAAAGAAAAGGAGCCAAGAGAAAGUAUCUAUUCAGAGAACUAGGGCAGGCAGACUCUUACUCCCCUAACAGAAAAGAAGUCCAAUAAGUGGAUGCCAUGUCCAGUUGUGAAAUACUAUCUGUAUAUGUGUGUGUCAAAAGAUAUUUAUUAUGUCUUUAGUUAAUGUUUGUGUUUUCUGUUUUUUUGGUUUUAGUUACCAGAAAACAGGCCAGAUUUAUGUGUAAAAAUGAUCAUUCAGCUUCUUAAAUGAAAUCUACCUAAACACUAAUCCUUGCUGUAGUAAGAUGUGAUUCUAGCAGUAUUUUGGGGAAAUCAUUCUGGCAUAGUUUAAAACAGUACAUUUAAAGUAUAUACUCUCAAUAAAGCAACCAUUAAUUGCAAUCCAAGCCUCUGUAAUCUUUAAGUCUAAAAUCUGGUCUUUUUCUUCAGAAGUCUGUAUAUUUCUUGAAAA